CCCUGUCCUUGCUUUAUUUUUUCAGAGUAAUGAUAGAAAUAAAGCUGUUGAUGUGUUUUAUGAUCCUGCUGAUGAGUGGGAACCUGACCUUUCAGACAGCUCCAUUUCCUUGCUUUCCAGAAGAAGAAGUAGAAGCUUCAUGAAGAACAAGAGAGUUUCUGGAUGUUUGUCUGAGAUAAAAUUGCAAUCUAUACAGAAUAAACAGACUUCCUAUAUAUCAGGUUUACUGAACAAGUCCAGCAUAUGCUCAAGCAUUUCUGAAUUGUUUCUUCCUGGAAUUUGCAAGGAGUCUAUAAGUUCAGCUUUAGAUUUGCUCGGACAGAGUCGUGAAGGAGGAAAAAGCAUAGCAGAUAGUCUCCUAACUAAUUUGUUUAUAAUCUUUUCUGGGGUGUCUGCCAUUUCAAAAGCCUAUGAACAGCAAGAUGAAGAAUGUCAGGAAAACAGUAAGUCUUGUUUUCAUAGUGGUUUAAACAUUUCUUAUGACUUCUUUCAGAUGCACAAGCAUUCAUGUGUUUUUCAGUCACAUGAAUUAAUGUUCCUACGUUCAUUUG